CAUGGCGGCACGGAUUCAUUCGUUCGUGCGCUCAGGCUGGUUGCUUCUUUUUCGCUAAAACUAGUUUAUUGCGCUUCGAUGUCACGCGUUAUUUAACCUGGGGUGAAGUGACGUGUUUGCAAGCGGACAUGUAAGCCUGAAAGUUGGGUAUCAGUCGUGAGCCAUUCGGAACACGUCUGCAUCGAAACGGGAGCUGGAUUCUGGUGCGGCUGACAACGGCAAUAACGACAUGCAGUAAUGAGGAUGGCACCAGUAUAAAGCAACAGACUCCACACACUAAACAGAAGCUGCUGCCUGCUACAACAAGGCCAUUGUGUGGACAUUGGCUGCUACUACAAGAGUCCAUGCCAAGCAUACCUUGGUCAUCACAGGAGCUCCUAUCCACACCAACAGAAAGGGGCUGGAGCUGAAUUUGCAAGGCUUUUACACCACGAACAAAGAAGUGCAUGCAGAAGAAUUUACAUGAGAUAUCAAGUCUGCAGAGCACUGUGUCAAGACUGAAAAGAGCU